UCAAAACAAUGGCUACCAGUUUCAUGGAAAAACAUUCGUCCCAUAUCAUAUACAAGUUUGAACAUCUGAUGGGCUCUUGAUCUCAAUUAAUCGUUCGAAGCCCUCUUAUCUCUCGUUUCUCAAUCUGUUGAGUUCUCUGGUCGGCAAAUGGCACAAGGGUAAGUAAUUUUGUUAUUAUGCUUUGAAUCUAAUUGGUACGCAUCGGGUUUAAAUCUGAAGCUUUUGUAUUUCGAAAGCUUCGCCUUGGAUUUUCGAUUUAGUGCAGUAUUUUUGAAUUGCAUGAUUACUUGAAACUACAUCUAUGGUGAUACUGAAAAAUCUAUCCAUAUUAGUUUGUUUCUUUCCGAUUGGAUUUAUAUAUUUGUCCAUCUUCAAAGUUUUCGGUGCGGUCAAUGACGACGAUGAGCUUAGAUUAGCAGUUUGACCGGCGAUGAUUUUAAUGGAGAUUGGAGAACACGAGGCUACUGAUUUGUAUAUCUGUACGUUCUUUCUCACUAUGAGUUUUCCUUAUGCAAUAUCAAUAUGAUUCUUCAUUUGCAGGAAGGGAACUUAAAACUUAAACACACCCCAUGACAAAGCAAUCUCAUUACAAUGUGUUUUACGGCCAUUCAAUUAUUUAAGAACCCCCCGGAUGGCAGCAUCUUAGUAUCAAUAGUUGACAGUGAGAUUCUUUCGCUUCAACGGUGUCCCUGAUUCAAGAGUAGAGGCAAUCAAUACCAAUUAAGUCACUCAGCUUCGGCCUCCAUAAAAAACACUGCUCCAAUUCUUCCAAUCUACUAAUAUACAAUUACCAACACGGCGCUCAGGUUCAAUAGCUAAUUCCCGUCACAGUUAAACCAAUCGGAUCCGCAAUCAAAGAUUGCCUACUGAAGUUUCUCGCCGGAGCGACCUCGCUCUCCGACCAGAUCUAUCAGGGGGUCGUGUCUGCUCGGACAGCACUGCGAUGAGAAGCUUCUUACCACGGUUGAAUCUGAGUGAUCAACAAACUCCAAUACGUCUUCAAAUUAUCUAGCAAAUAUUUACAUCUGAUAUUGGUUUUACUUUAGAGUUGUAAGGGGGUUUGCGAUUGGAUAAUAAUAACUUGUAUAUAUCAGUAGCUUCUACAUCAAAGCGUAUUUUGGAUAUUUUGUAUGUUUUCAGAGGGUUAUAAUGUUGGAAAGUCGUAUUAAUACUAACCAAGAUGAGGUGGAAAGUAGAACCCACUUUUAUAAA
rnacentral:lncRNA from 1 species